GUGGGGAAUUUUGGACAAUGGGGGCAACCCUGAUCCAGCCAUGCCGCGUGAGUGAAGAAGGCCUUCGGGUUGUAAAGCUCUUUCAGCCGGGAAGAAAACGCACUCUCUAACAUAGGGUGUGGAUGACGGUACCGGAAGAAGAAGCACCGGCUAACUACGUGCCAGCAGCCGCGGUAAUACGUAGGGUGCGAGCGUUAAUCGGAAUUACUGGGCGUAAAGGGUGCGCAGGCGGUUUUGUAAGACAGAUGUGAAAUCCCCGGGCUUAACCUGGGAACUGCGUUUGUGACUGCAAGGCUAGAGUACGGCAGAGGGGGGUGGAAUUCCGCGUGUAGCAGUGAAAUGCGUAGAUAUGCGGAGGAACACCGAUGGCGAAGGCAACCCCCUGGGCCUGUACUGACGCUCAUGCACGAAAGCGUGGGGAGCAAACAGGAUUAGAAACCCUAGUAGUCC
rnacentral:rRNA from 1 species